GCUGACAAGGGAGAGGGGGCGGCUGGGGUGUCGGUUCGUUCCCAUCACCAGGCCUCUUCCCUUACAAUACAACCCAGAUCAGACCGGACAAGUCAACUGUCUAUCAGUCUUUGGAUCCAUGGCGGUGAUUUUACAGCAUCAGAGAAAUGGCAUCUUGUUUAUGGAAAACGGACUUGGAUCGCUCUUAAGAUCCCCCCUCCACCCUGGCUGCUGGCUGUGUCCCUGCUUCAGCUUGGCACUGGGACCCAGGAGACUGCUCUCGCCCCUCCCCAACCCCACAUCUGCCUGGAACCGGAGGUGUGGCCUGAGGAAACUGGCUGGGCUUUUGCAGGUCUUGGGGAUAGGAGGUGCUGGAGUAGUCAGAGAUGAUUCUCAUUAGGCCUGUAAUGCCUGGUGGCAAUUAAUGUCACCCAAGGGCUUAUUACCCAUCCCACUGAGAGGCAAACCAGCAAUCAGGCUGUGUGUGGGAGAAGGGGAAAGGAGCAACCUCCUGAGGCAGGGAGGGCUCUAGAAGGGGGCAGGAAUUGGGGAGUGGUCCUUUUAUCCCUGCCCACUUGCCUCAUUGGAAGAGACCCAAAACUGAGGUUGGUCGGAAAGAAGGUAGAAAGCAAGGUUGUUUCUUCAGUGAUACUGACCAAAGAUGUUCAUCUUCACAGUACUUCAAAGCUGCCCAGGAGCCUGAAGGUCCUCGGCUUCAGCCCGUUCCCCUGGCCAUCUCUGAAAACUGGCAGGGUCUUCUCUGGUUAGGUCGUCCAGUGACUCAGACACGGGCUUCUCUCUGCCCUGACUUCAUUUCUCUUCCUUCCUCCCUUCCUUUUAUACCAGCACUGAGUAUCUCCAGCAUCACAGGCAUUAUUGGCCCAACAGUGAGCAAGAGAGAAGUACCCCUUGCCUCAUGAAUUCCCACUCUAGAGGAGAAGGCAGAACACAGAGCUUCUACCCAGAGAUGGCUAUGACUCCUGGUGUUGCAUGCUUUUGCUCAUCUUAAGAAGACCUGUGUCAGGAAGGGCAAGGGAACCGUGAUUUCUGCCCUGCUCUUCCUGUACCUGCCGUGUGGACCUGCCCUUCAUGGACUGGGGCCCCCUGCUGGGUUAAACUCCCAGCUCAGAUUCCAGGACCCUACUUUAUCCACAAGUAAGGAGAAUGUCAGUGGAAGGCCAGCUUGUGGAUUUCCCAGGUAGAGACCUGGCUCUAGUUCCUGUAAGGCAAGGUGACUGGACUAGUCUGGGCAGGCUGCCAUAACAGCCCACCACAGACUGGGUGACUUAAACAAUGAGAGUUUACUUCCCACAGUUCUGGAGGCUGAAAGUCCACGAUCAAGGUGUCAGCAGGGCUGAUUUCCCCAAGGCCUCUUUCCUUGGCUGCCAGGUGGUUGCCCUCCUGCUGUGUGUUCGCAGAGUCAUUUCUCUGAGCUCAUGAAUUCCUGGUGUCUCUUCCUCUUUUCAUAAGGACACCAGUUGUAAUGGAUUAGGGUCCCAUGCUGUUGGCCCCAUCUCAAUGCAAUGACCUCUUUAAAGACAUUAUUUCAAAUAUGCUUAACAUGCUGAGUUACUUACUGAAUAUUGGGACUUCAACAUAUCAAUUUUACGGGGACAUAAUUUAGCACAUAACAGUGACUAUAAUUUACCAUCCAAAACUGGGAUUUUUUUUGAGAGUAGAAAGGGCUGCUGUUCAUAAUUACCUUGGAACAGCUGCCUUAAGUGAGUACACUGGAACAUACGGCCACCUGAAAUUCAUAUCCUGUCACUCACUCUGCAGCCCUACUUUAAACCACCUCAUCUAUCUCAAGACCUGAGCACAUUACCUUCUGCUGCUCAGUUUCUCUCUGCAUCCUGAGCACCUAGUCACCACUGCACAGUUUGUCCCCUGCCCUCAUCCCCACCAGGUUCUCAGAGAUGGCAGAGGCAGGAGGGCAGACCCGUGGGGCUGUGUUGCAUGGUAGCCAUGAGUGCUGUCCAGAGGAAAACAUGAGGCCAGGGGCUUCUGGUCAGCCUAGAUCACGGAAGUGGCAGGACAGGGAAGGCUUCCUGGAGGAGGUGAUUUCUGAGCUACACUGAAGGAGGGACAAGUGUAGGCCUGGGACGUGACAAGAAGAGGGAGUGGAGACUAGGCAGAGUUGCUUUCCAUAAGAGGGCUGGGUGUGCCAGGUACUAUGGAUGUGUCCUCCUAGCUGGGGCCCUGAGAGCUGGGGUGGAGCUAGAGAAGGAGGCUAGAGAGGCCAGCAGGCCACUGUCCCCUGAACAGAGUCCCCCCCGCCAGGUCUAUGCCUGUGAUGACAUGCACACUGGGGUUACUGCACUUAUUCAUGCAGAGCUUCACAUGCAAGAGCCAAAGACACUAGGAAGCUUAUAAAGCAUCUUGCCAGUCAUGCAUAUACAACACAUGUCCAUGUGUACACACACACACACACACACACACACAC